AUCGCUUUCACGAUAGGAUAGCAUCAACAAAUAUUACAUUUUUAUAUACAUACCAGAGGUAUGAUUUAUUAAAAAAUUUAACAAUGCAAGUUAAACCAUUAUUAAGAGUUUAAAAUAAAUCAGUCCGGGACAGGUAAUUAAACAUCUAAGUUUAUUCUAAGGUAUUGGGACUCAUAGGAUACCUAGUUAUUCGGAGCUUCCUUCUCGGUGGGUCUGCUGGUUUUUUAAAAACAGCAACAGAAGGAUCCCCGAGUACGAAAGGUGGUGGCUUUGCUUAUCUAGGGGCUCGACGGGGCGUUCAGGCAUUUCGUCGAACACGUUGUGGGCGAGGUGGAGGCUGGCUGUGUUCCAGAAGCUGAGAUGCAGCAGCUUUGGGACUGCAGCUUGGCGUAGAUCAGGCAGCGGCAACUGUAGCUGCUGCGGACGUCGGCGGCACUGCCGCUGCUUCGGCUCGAGCUCCAUGUGGCACAGUCCUCCGGCUCCCUCCUACAGUCGUCGUUGGCGAGGAAGCUGACGCUGUGCUGCUGCGCGGCCCUUCGGCGAACAGCCCGGGCACCACGGCCAUGCCCAGACCAAAACGCCACAGCGUGUCCAGGCGGCGGUGUUCCAGCCUAGCUGCUGGUUCGGCUUGCGCCUGGGCAAGAGAAGGGAAGGGGAGCAGAGCUGCUGCUGUUGGAAUUGGCUUGGAUUGGAAAACAGAGGAGGGAGAUAGCGAUGGGAGAGGUGCUCCUGCUUGUGGUGCUUGACGGCUAAUCGGAGAAGAGCUGAACGUGCUUAUUGAUUUGGGAAAGAAAAGAACCAAGCUGUUUGCUUGCUUGAUCGGUGGAGCAGAAGAUAGCGAGAAAGAGAGAAGGGAGCAGGCUGCUGGUUCUUGCGGUGGAGAAAAAGACGGGGGGAAGAGAUCGAGCUGAGAGGGCAGGGACGCAAGAUGCAGGAGAAAGAACAAGAGGGGCUCUGGCUUGCGGUGGAAGGAGAGGGCAGAAGAGAGCAGGGUGCGGCGGCGGCUUGGGAGGAGAGAAGAGGGAGGGUAAGUGGUGAGAGGGUGGGAGGGUGAGUGGUGAGCUGAGAGGGUUAUGUUUAGUUAGUGGGUUUUUAGAUAGGCUUUAUGGUCUGGGCCAAAACUAUUAUAUCCAGCGGAAUAAAUUGUUAACAUAAACUUAGGACAAAUGAAUUAGACUAAUUUUUCGAAAAUGAAUUAAAUAGCAGUGACUUAGUUCGAUGAGCCGGAACGCCAGGAUUCAAAUUGAGCUCUUGGGAAAUUAAUACAAAUGAAUUAGCCUAUUUUCCGAUAUCAAAUUAAUUAGCUAGGAAUUAAU
rnacentral:lncRNA from 1 species